rnacentral:lncRNA from 1 species
UAUAUAUUAACUCUUUCAAUUUACAAGAAUUUUCUUGACCACUCAAUAUAGCAGCAUACAUUUUUUAUACUUUAACUGUGAUUAAGCAGAGAAGCCUGAAGUACUUUUCUAUAAUUAACUGCUCAACUGUGUUAGAGAAUGAAAACAGCUUUCAGAAGUAGAUCUGACAUUCACCAACAGCCGGGAGAGGACAGAGCUGAUGUCUUUUCUACCUAUGAACGAACAGUUUUGUCCUUCAGAGCUGGUGACCUUGGUUUCUUUCUGAAAGAUACCUGAACUCUAGCCAAUGCUGCUUUAGGAUUUGAUGGACCACCUGACCCAUCUCAAAGGAGAAAGAAGAAUAAAGUUUUUCAAAGGUCACAUCUCAGCCAUUUACAAUUUUUUGUUACGUUUCUGUCAUGGCUGAAGAUUGUAUUCAGACAAUUGCAACAAAAACAGCCAAAGUCAAAAUGAACCAACGAACACAACAGAAAUGGAGAAAGAAGGGGAAAAAAAAAAAGAGCUUCUGUCUAGGGUUCAAAUGCUUCCACUCCUCAUUUGACAAUGAAGAAUAAUGAAGCGACAAUUAAGUGACUCUCCUAUAAUGCCUCCUAAUGCAGUAAAAUCUG